GCCCGCAUGGGGUAGCCUGGAUAUCCUACAAGGUUGCGGACCUUGGGACUCGCGUUCGAAUCGCGGUGCGGGCA
rnacentral:tRNA from 1 species